rnacentral:rRNA from 1 species
GGAAUGAACGCUGGCGGCAUGCCUAACACAUGCAAGUCGAACGGUGCCUUCGGGCAUAGUGGCGCACGGGUGCGUAACGCGUGGGAAUCUACCCUUGGGUUCGGAAUAACUCAGAGAAAUUUGAGCUAAUACCGGAUGAUGACGAAAGUCCAAAGAUUUAUCGCCCAGGGAUGAGCCCGCGUAGGAUUAGCUUGUUGGUGAGGUAAAAGCUCACCAAGGCGACGAUCCUUAGCUGGUCUGAGAGGAUGAUCAGCCACACUGGGACUGAGACACGGCCCAGACUCCUACGGGAGGCAGCAGUGGGGAAUAUGGACAAUGGGCGAAAGCCUGAUCCAGCAAUGCCGCGUGAGUGAUGAAGGCCGUUAGGUUGUAAAGCUUCGUUUUACCCGGGAAGAUAAGUGACUGUACCGGAGAAGUAACGCCCCGACUAACUCCGUGCCAGCAGCCGAC